CCCUGGUUAGCUCAGUUGGUAGAGGCGCUCCACUUGUAAUUGAGAGGUCCCGGGUUCGAUACCCGGACCAGGCG
rnacentral:tRNA from 1 species